rnacentral:pre_miRNA from 1 species
GAAGUACUCCCUCCGUUCGGAAUUACUUGUCUUGAAAAUGGAUGUAUCUAGAACUAAAAUACAUCUAGAUACAUUCAUUUUUACGACAAGUAAUUCCGAACGGAGGGAGUAACUU